AGGUAAUGGCUUACCAAGGCGACGAUGCGUAGCCGACCUGAGAGGGUGACCGGCCACACUGGGACUGAGACACGGCCCAGACUCCUACGGGAGGCAGCAGUAGGGAAUCUUCCGCAAUGGACGCAAGUCUGACGGAGCAACGCCGCGUGAGUGAUGAAGGUUUUCGGAUCGUAAAACUCUGUUGUUAGAGAAGAACACGUACCGUUUGAAUAAGGCGGUACCUUGACGGUACCUAACGAGAAAGCCCCGGCUAACUACGUGCCAGCAGCCGCGGUAAUACGUAGGGGGCAAGCGUUGUCCGGAAUUAUUGGGCGUAAAGCGCGCGCAGGCGGUCUUUUAAGUCUGAUGUGAAAGCCCACGGCUCAACCGUGGAGGGUCAUUGGAAACUGGGAGACUUGAGUGUAGGAGAGGAAAGUGGAAUUCCACGUGUAGCGGUGAAAUGCGUAGAGAUGUGGAGGAACACCAGUGGCGAAGGCGACUUUCUGGCCUACAACUGACGCUGAGGCGCGAAAGCGUGGGUAGCGAACAGGAUUAGAUACCCUGGUAGUCCACGCCGUAAACGAUGAGUGCUAGGUGUUAGGGGUUUCAAUACCCUUAGUGCCGGCGUUAACACAUUAAGCACUCCGC
rnacentral:rRNA from 1 species